ACCAAGGAGUCUAACAUGUGAGCGAGCGAUUGAGAUUGUCUAAUCUCAAGCGCGCAAUGAAAGUGAAGCGUCGUCUGACGACGCGAGCGGAGAUCCGGCGUCACCCGUGGCGCCGGCGCACCCGCGGGCCGCGCCACCGGCUGGCUUGCUCCUCUCGGAGCACUGCCGCGGCGCGGACCCAGAGCCCACAUGUUGGGACCCGAAAGAUGGUGAACUAUGCCUGGCCAGGAUGAAGUCAGAGGAAACUCUGAUGGAGGUCCGCCGCGAUUCUGACGUGCAAAUCGAUCGUCUGAGCUGGGUAUAGGGGCGAAAGACCAAUCGAACCAUCUAGUAGCUGGUUCCGCCCGAAGUUUCCCUCAGGAUAGCUGGCGCUCGUGUGAUACGGAGUUUCAUCCGGUAAAGCGAAUGAUCAGAGGAACUGGGCUCUUCGCGAGCUCAACCUAUUCUCAAACUUUCAAUGGGUGAGACGUCUCGCUGGCUUCGCUGCAGCGACGACUCUGAAUCCGAGUGCCCAGUGGGCCACUUUUGGUAAGCAGAACUGGCGAUGCGGGAUGAACCGCAUGUCGAGCUAAGGUGCCUAAGCGGACGCAAAUCAGAUACCAUGAAAGGUGUUGAUUGCUCAUGACAGCAGGACGGUGGCCAUGGAAGUCGGCACCCGCUAAGGAGUGUGUAACAACUCACCUGCCGAAGCAAUCGGCCCUGAAAAUGGAUGGCGCUAAAGCGUCCCACCGAUGCUCGACCGUCGUCGGCACGCGACGCGCACCCGUGCGCGUCUCAAGCCACGACGAGUAGGGCGGCGCGGCGGUGAGCGUCGAAGGUGCGGCCGUGAGGCCGGCUGGAGCCGCCGUCGGUGCAGAUCUUGGUGGUAGUAGCAAAUACACAAGCAAGAUCCUUGUGGACCGAUGUGGAGAAGGGUUCCGCGCGAACAGCAUUUGGACGUGGGUGAGUCGGCCCUAAGCCAACGGGUAAUUCCCGCAUCCCGUGCCGAUCUCGCGUGUGUGACUAACAAAUGGCACA
rnacentral:rRNA from 1 species